AGUGGGGAAUAUUGCACAAUGGAGGAAACUCUGAUGCAGCAACGCCGCGUGGAGGAUGACACAUUUCGGUGCGUAAACUCCUUUUAUAUGGGAAGAUAAUGACGGUACCAUAUGAAUAAGCACCGGCUAACUCCGUGCCAGCAGCCGCGGUAAUACGGAGGGUGCAAGCGUUACUCGGAAUCACUGGGCGUAAAGCGCGCGCAGGCGGCCUGAUAAGUUGGAUGUGAAAGCCUACGGCUCAACCGUAGAACUGCAUCCAAAACUGUCAGGCUAGAGUGUGGGAGAGGAAGAUGGAAUUAGUUGUGUAGGGGUAAAAUCCGUAGAGAUAACUAGGAAUACCAAAAGCGAAGGCAAUCUUCUGGAACACUACUGACGCUGAGGCGCGAAGGCGUGGGGAGCAAACAGGAUUAGAUACCCUGGUAGUCCACGCAGUAAACGAUGAAUGUUAGUCGUCGGGGGCCUAGUGUCUUCGGUGAUGCAGCUAACGCAUUAAACAUUCCGCCUGGGGAGUACGGUCGCAAGAUUAAAACUCAAAGGAAUAGACGGGGACCCGCACAAGUGGUGGAGCAUGUGGUUUAAUUCGAAGAUACGCGAAGAACCUUACCUAGCCUUGACAUAUUUUAGAACUCCGUAGAGAUACAGAGGUGCCUUCGGGAGCUAAUUUACAGGUGCUGCACGGCUGUCGUCAGCUCGUGUCGUGAGAUGUUGGGUUAAGUCCCGCAACGAGCGCAACCCUCGUCACUAGUUACUAACGGUUCGGCCGAGGACUCUAGUGAGACUGCCUUCGUAAGGAGGAGGAAGGUGAGGACGACGUCAAGUCAUCAUGGCCCUUACGGCUAGGGCAACACACGUGCUACAAUGGCCAGGACAGUGAGACGCGAUACCGCGAGGUGGAGCAAAUCUAUAAACCUGGUCUCAGUUCGGAUUGUAGUCUGCAACUCGACUACAUGAAGCUGGAAUCACUAGUAAUCGUAGAUCAGCUAUGCUACGGUGAAUACGU
rnacentral:rRNA from 1 species